rnacentral:rRNA from 1 species
UACGAAGGGGGCUAGCGUUGCUCGGAAUUACUGGGCGUAAAGGGAGCGUAGGCGGAUAGUUUAGUCAGAGGUGAAAGCCCAGGGCUCAAUCUUGGAAUUGCCUUUGAUACUGGCUAUCUUGAGUACGGAAGAGGUAUGUGGAACUCCGAGUGUAGAGGUGAAAUUCGUAGAUAUUCGGAAGAACACCAGUGGCGAAGGCGACAUACUGGUCCGUUACUGACGCUGAGGCUCGAAAGCGUGGGGGGCAAACAGG